GACGAACGCUGGCGGCGUGCUUAACACAUGCAAGUCGAACGGAAAGGCCCUGCUUUUGUGGGGUGCUCGAGUGGCGAACGGGUGAGUAACACGUGAGUAACCUGCCCUUGACUUUGGGAUAACUUCAGGAAACUGGGGCUAAUACCGGAUAGGAGCUCCUGCUGCAUGGUGGGGGUUGGAAAGUUUCGGCGGUUGGGGAUGGACUCGCGGCUUAUCAGCUUGUUGGUGGGGUAGUGGCUUACCAAGGCUUUGACGGGUAGCCGGCCUGAGAGGGUGACCGGCCACAUUGGGACUGAGAGACGGACCAGACGCCUACGGGAGGCAGCAGUGGGGAAUAUUGCACAAUGGGCGGAAGCCUGAUGCAGCAACGCCGCGUGCGGGAUGACGGCCUUCGGGUUGUAAACCGCUUUCGCCUGUGACGAAGCGUGAGUGACGGUAAUGGGUAAAGAAGCACCGGCUAACUACGUG
rnacentral:rRNA from 1 species